GGCACGUAAGCUGCUGGGAAUCUCGGAGAACACUACAGCACUUAAAAUGGCAGCUCCUGUCUGUGGACACCCUUGAUGUCUAGAAGCUGACUAAGGCUAGGGUUCUGUUGCUCCUUGGCUAAGGGCACCACUUUCAGAUAAAAACAUAGACCUGAAUGGCAUCAUCCAGUAUCCAAGGAAACCAUGUACUUACACUUCAGCCAAAUCAAACAUAAGACAUUUAGAGGAAGAAAGGAGGCGAUGGUGCCAAAAUUUGGCAUUCUAGGAUGUUACAGCAGAAAAAAGAAAAUGAGAAUGCACAAAAUCUUCACACUAGACUCUUCCCUGGUCCAAGUUGUGGGUGAUGCUGCAGGUUCCAGGAGACUGUGA
rnacentral:lncRNA from 1 species